GCAAGUCGAACGGAAACGAUGGGAGCUUGCUCUCAGGCGUCGAGUGGCGGACGGGUGAGUAAUACAUAGGAAUCUGCCCAGUAGCGGGGGACAACUCGGAGAAAUCCGAGCUAAUACCGCAUACGCCCUACGGGGGAAAGCAGGGGAUCUUCGGACCUUGCACUAAUGGAUGAGCCUAUGUCAGAUUAGCGUGUUGGUGGGGGAACGGAGUACCAAGGCGACGAUGUGUAGCUGGUCUGAGAGGAUUAUC
rnacentral:rRNA from 1 species